GACGAACGCUGGCGGCGUGCUUAACACAUGCAAGUCGAACGGAAAGGCCCUGCUUUUGUGGGGUGCUCGAGUGGCGAACGGGUGAGUAACACGUGAGUAGCCUGCCCUUGACUUUGGGAUAACUUCAGGAAACUGGGGCUAAUACCGGAUAGGAGCUCCUGCUGCAUGGUGGGGGUUGGAAAGUUUCGGCGGUUGGGGAUGGACUCGCGGCUUAUCAGCUUGUUGGUGGGGUAGUGGCUUACCAAGGCUUUGACGGGUAGCCGGCCUGAGAGGGUGACCGGCCACAUUGGGACUGAGAUACGGCCCAGACUCCUACGGGAGGCAGCAGUGGGGAAUAUUGCACAAUGGGCGGAAGCCUGAUGCAGCAACGCCGCGUGCGGGAUAACGGCCUUCGGGUUGUAAACCGCUUUCGCCUGUGACGAAGCGUGAGUGACGGUAAUGGGUAAAGAAGCACCGGCUAACUACGUG
rnacentral:rRNA from 1 species